rnacentral:rRNA from 1 species
AUGUGCGCGCGGAGUAGGAUGGACCGGCGACCGAUGGCUGCCCGUUCGUCGUUGACGCUCCUGCUCAGCCUCGCCGCCGCCGCCGGCGGCGGCGUACUUCAAGUUCGCGGCCAGCGCGCGCCUAGCAUCGAAGGUUUCAUCACCAUCGACUGUGGCCUGCCGAAGCAUAGUAGCUACGUGAACAACCGCACCAAGAUACCCAUCACCUCGGACGCCGGCUUCACGGACGCCGGCUACAACCACAACAUCUCCACCGAGUACGUGAGGCCUCAGCCCCAACUCUCCAAAAGCUACCUCAACGUCCGCAGCUUCCCCGACGCGGUCCGUAGCUGCUACACGCUGCCGUCCCUCGUGCCGGGGUCCAAGUACCUGCUCCGGGCCAUGUUCAUGUACGGCAACUACGAUGGGCUCGACAAGCUCCCCAUCUUCGAUCUCUACCUGGGCGUCAACUUUUGGUGGAGGGUGAACAUCUCGAGAUCCGAGGAAUCGGUAUUGGCCGAGGUCAUCGCCAUGAUCCCGGACGACUCGGUGCAGGUUUGCCUGGUGAACAUCGGGUUGGGGACGCCAUUUAUCUCGGAGCUGGAUCUGAGGCCUCUGGAGAACACGCUGUAUCGGCAGGCGAACGCGACACAGGGGCUUGUCCUGAUCGACAGGCGCAACAUGGGCGACACGGGCAACUUCGCCAUUAGGUACCCGGACGACCCAUACGACCGGGCUUGGUUACCGUGGAGCAACCCGAAGCUGUGGCUGGACAUCUCAACCAAGGAGAAGGUCCAAGAGAAUAUCGGCAGCCUCCGCCUCCACGCACCAUCUGCCGUGUUGCAGACUGCAGUCACGGAGCUCAACGACUCCGAGUCCAAGACCGUCGAGUUGUCAUGGAAGACGGAGCUGGACCACGUCGACCGAAUGCUCGGAUGUGUUGCCAUCUUGUAUUUCGCCGAGCUGCAGAUCCUUGCCGGCAAUGCCGUUCGCGAGUUCAACACCAUUGUCGACGGCGGACCCAACCUCCCGUACAGGCCUGAGUACCUCGUUGGCGACGCCUUGUACAAUGCUGAACCCCACAAGUGCUUAAGCCAGUACAACAUCACCAUGAUCGCCACAAAAAACUCAACACUGCCGCCGAUCAUCAACGCCUUUGAGUAUUUCUCCAUCAUCUCUACAGCCAACGUCGGGACCGACCCUCAGGAUGUUUCUGCCAUCAACGCAAUCAAGCUUAGGUAUCAGAUGAAAAGGAAUUGGAUGGGUGACCCGUGCGCUCCGAAGACUUUUGUGUGGGAUGGGUUGACCUGCAGCUAUGUUAUAUCUGGGCGUCCAAGAAUCACAAGCAUAAAUAUGUCAUCGGGCGUUUUGAAAGGCGAGAUAUCAUCUUAUUUCGCUGAUCUCAAAGACAUCCAAUCCUUGGAUCUUUCAUACAACAAACUGACAGGAUCAAUUCCUAAUGUUCUUGCACAACUACCCUCUCUCGUGUUGUUAGAUUUGACAGGUAACCAACUUAAUGGAUCCAUCCCCUCCGGGCUUCUAAAGAGAAGUCAAGAUGGCACCGUAACUCUAAGAUACAACAAAAACCCAAACCUUUGCAUCAACAAAAACUCUUGCCAGCCAACAAAAGGGGAAAACAAUUCUAAGAUUGUCGUCUAUAUUGUUGUUCCGAUAGUUGCGGUUGUUGUGAUUGGAGCACUUGUAGUACUUCUGAUUCUCAUAGUGAGAAAAAAGAAAGGAUCUACAAAUAGCAGCAAACAACAAGACCGUCAACACCUGGACAACCACCGAUUCACAUACAAAGAACUAGAGACCAUAACAGACAACUUCAAGACAGUGCUUGGCCAAGGAGGGUUUGGAACUGUUUAUGAUGGCUUCUUGCAGGAUGGUACCCAAGUUGCAGUCAAGUUACGGUCUCAAUCCUCCAGUCAAGAUGUAAGAGAGUUCUUGACAGAGGCUCAGACAAUAACGAAGAUCCAUCACAAGAAUCUUGUACCAUUAGUUGGUUAUUGCAAGGAUGGGAUAUAUUUAGCUCUUGUCUACGAGCAUAUGUCUGAAGGAAAUCUAGAAGAUAAACUCAGAGAUAUUCUAAUCCAUCUGAAAGAACGACAAGGAUGUAUCCUUAACCUGGAGACAGAGGCUCUGCAUCGCACUACAAUCCACACAAGGGCUUGA